rnacentral:rRNA from 1 species
AAUAGAUACCCAGGUAGCCCACCCCGUAAACGUUGGGAACUAGUUGUGGGGACCAUUCCACGGUUUCCGUGACGCAGCUAACGCAUUAAGUUCCCCGCCUGGGGAGUACGGCCGCAAGGCUAAAACUCAAAGGAAUUGACGGGGACCCGCACAAGCGGCGGAGCAUGCGGAUUAAUUCGAUGCAACGCGAAGAACCUUACCAAGGCUUGACAUAUACGAGAACGGGCCAGAAAUGGUCAACUCUUUGGACACUCGUAAACAGGUGGUGCAUGGUUGUCGUCAGCUCGUGUCGUGAGAUGUUGGGUUAAGUCCCGCAACGAGCGCAACCCUCGUUCUAUGUUGCCAGCACGUAAUGGUGGGAACUCAUGGGAUACUGCCGGGGUCAACUCGGAGGAAGGUGGGGAUGACGUCAAAUCAUCAUGCCCCUUAUGUCUUGGGCUUCACGCAUGCUACAAUGGCCGGUACAAAGGGCUGCAAUACCGUAAGGUGGAGCGAAUCCCAAAAAGCCGGUCCCAGUUCGGAUUGAGGUCUGCAACUCGACCUCA